GGGUUAAGUCCCGUAACGAGCGCAACCCUUGUCCUUAGUUACCAGCACGUUAUGGUGGGCACUCUAAGGAGACUGCCGGUGGACAAACCGGAGGAAGGUGGGGAUGACGUCAAGUCAUCAUGGCCCUUACGGCCUGGGCUACACACGUGCUACAAUGGUCGGUACAAAGGGUUGCCAAGCCGCGAGGUGGAGCUAAUCCCAUAAAACCGAUCGUAGUCCGGAUCGCAGUCUGCAACUCGACUGCGUGAAGUCGGAAUCGCUAGUAAUCGUGAAUCAGAAUGUCACGGUGAAUACGUUCCCGGGCCUU
rnacentral:rRNA from 1 species